ensembl:lncRNA
GUGAAGACUUGAACCAGAAAUGAGUCAAAAGCACAAGAUCUCCCACAGAGACUGGGCACGUUCUGCUUCAUGAGCUCCCAGCGCUGGCACCUCACAACAGCAAAGAUGUGUUUGAGGUGACCCUAAGAGCCGCAGCCUCCUGGCACCAAUCUGCCACUAAAUCCUUUGAAGCUCAGAUAAGUAUUUAACUGACAUCACUGAGUCGGGCCUGGUAUUGUUGUGCUGGAAAUGGAAAUGCCACUCCACACACAGCUGGAAAUGCCAGGUUUCUGCAAAGUGAAGGAACGAUUUGAGAUUUUCUAAGAAAAGAAAAGAAAACAGACUCCUGAUGUACUCCAACCUGUGCCAGUUUCUACCCACUCGUGCAAAGGAUGUGGGCAGCGAGGGUCAGAGGACUUGUGGGACCAGACUGAGAGUGAAAAACAGAUGCUUGCGCCAAUUUGUGUGUGCAACAAAGGGAAUGAAAUGCAUACUUCAGCAAAAGGUUUGGUGUCCUACAACACAGAGCAUACUGCUGCUCAGAGGGCUGGCCUCAGAGACCUCAGGAAAGCCACUCAAACAGAAGCUCAUGGC